CAACUCCACUCUCGACGACGACCGCGCCAUGGAAUGGAGCCCUUCAAGGAAGACUUUGGGUUGCUUGUAACCCGCCAUGUCACAGAUAGGGUGCCUGUUAGAAAUCUUCUAUGGGGGUAACCAACAAGCGACAAAUAUUCAGUCUUGAGGGCGCAAGUACUGAAGCUAUGAUCCAGCUGUUGAGAAUAACUGAUAAUCAUGGUGUCUUAUGUGUAACUAUUUUCUUCAGAAAUCACCAAGUACUUGUGAGUGCUUACCUUUUACAUACUAUGUUGUUCUUGGAUCAUGAAUGACUCUGUUCUAUUGUCGUCUAGUUCUUCUCUAAUAAGUACAUACUAUCUUGUUCUUGCCUGUGCAUUCAUCCGAAGCUAGUUUUGCUUAUGUGUGUACUGUUUUGAUUGCCAUGUCAGACUGUAAAGGUUUUCGUGUCACCGACAACUCUGCUUCACUAGUAGAUUGGGGAAGGCGGCCGCUGCCCUCGUCUCCGCAUUGCCACGUCCUACUCCUCUGCUCCACAACGUACAUGGCUAAAGUAAGUCAGGGUUGCACGUGCAGGUACAACUCGUCGACGUCAAGGAGAAUGAUGCCUUAGACCAGUCUGAGAAGCCAUCGCCGUCCUCGGGUGCUGCCGCCAACGGAUACGGGUGCUUGGUGACUGAAGAGGAUGUUAGAGUUUUUCAUGUCAUCGACAACUCUGCGUCACUAGUAGAUUGGGGUGUUCGGCUGCCACCCUUGUCUCCGCCGUGGCCAUCCUCCUCUUCAUCUGUUCCACAACGUCCAUGGCUUAAACAAGGUACAGCUCAUGGACGCCAAGGAGAAUGAUGCCUUAGACUAGUCUGAGAAGCCAUCGCUGCCCUUGGAUGUUCCCGCCGACAAAGACGGGCACAUGGUG